GGUUAAGCGACUAAGCGUACACGGUGGAUGCCCUGGCAGUCAGAGGCGAUGAAGGACGUGCUAAUCUGCGAUAAGCGCCGGUAAGGUGAUAUGAACCGUUAUAACCGGCGAUUUCCGAAUGGGGAAACCCAGUGUGAUUCGUCACACUAUCAUUAACUGAAUCCAUAGGUUAAUGAGGCGAACCGGGGGAACUGAAACAUCUAAGUACCCCGAGGAAAAGAAAUCAACCGAGAUUCCCCCAGUAGCGGCGAGCGAACGGGGAGGAGCCCAGAGCCUGAAUCAGCAUGUGUGUUAGUGGAAGCGUCUGGAAAGGCGCGCGAUACAGGGUGACAGCCCCGUACACAAAAGCGCAUGUGCUGUGAGCUCGAUGAGUAGGGCGGGACACGUGGUAUCCUGUCUGAAUAUGGGGGGACCAUCCUCCAAGGCUAAAUACUCCUGACUGACCGAUAGUGAACCAGUACCGUGAGGGAAAGGCGAAAAGAACCCCGGCGAGGGGAGUGAAAAAGAACCUGAAACCGUGUACGUACAAGCAGUGGGAGCCCCACCACUAAGCCAGUGGUGAACUCCACAUCCGCAUCCUUUGCUGAGGAUACGGUUAACGGAGCGAAAGCGACGUUCAACCGCAAAACAAGCAGAGGGGGCUUAGUGGUGGGGUGACUGCGUACCUUUUGUAUAAUGGGUCAGCGACUUAUAUUCUGUAGCAAGGUUAACCGAAUAGGGGAGCCGGAGGGAAACCGAGUCUUAAUUGGGCGUUAAGUUGCAGGGUAUAGACCCGAAACCCGGUGAUCUAGCCAUGGGCAGGUUGAAGGUUGGGUAACACUAACUGGAGGACCGAACCGACUAAUGUUGAAAAAUUAGCGGAUGACCUGUGGCUGGGGGUGAAAGGCCAAUCAAACCGGGAGAUAGCUGGUUCUCCCCGAAAGCUAUUUAGGUAGCGCCUCGUGAAUUCAUCUCCGGGGGUAGAGCACUGUUUCGGCUAGGGGGCCAUCCCGGCUUACCAACCCGAUGCAAACUGCGAAUACCGGAGAAUGUUAUCACGGGAGACACACGGCGGGUGCUAACGUCCGUCGUGAAGAGGGAAACAACCCAGACCGCCAGCUAAGGUCCCAAAGUCAUGGUUAAGUGGGAAACGAUGUGGGAAGGCCCAGACAGCCAGGAUGUUGGCUUAGAAGCAGCCAUCAUUUAAAGAAAGCGUAAUAGCUCACUGGUCGAGUCGGCCUGCGCGGAAGAUGUAACGGGGCUAAACCAUGCACCGAAGCUGCGGCAGCGAACGUAUCACCCAAGACAACUUUACGGAGUUGACGAUUGACGGAGCGAAGCGACGUCAAAGCGUUCAUUAAAGUCGAGUUGGCUUAGGGAUACGUUCGUUGGGUAGGGGAGCGUUCUGUAAGCCUGUGAAGGUGUGUCGUGAGGCAUGCUGGAGGUAUCAGAAGUGCGAAUGCUGACAUAAGUAACGAUAAAGCGGGUGAAAAGCCCGCUCGCCGGAAGACCAAGGGUUCCUGUCCAACGUUAAUCGGGGCAGGGUGAGUCGACCCCUAAGGCGAGGCCGAAAGGCGUAGUCGAUGGGAAACGGGUUAAUAUUCCCGUACUUGGUGUUACUGCGAAGGGGGGACGGAGAAGGCUAUGUUGGCCGGGCGACGGUUGUCCCGGUUUAAGCGUGUAGGUGUGUGUUCCAGGUAAAUCCGGUUCACUUUAACACUGAGGCGUGACGACGAGGCACUACGGUGCUGAAGCAACAAAUGCCCUGCUUCCAGGAAAA
rnacentral:rRNA from 1 species